GAUGAACGCUGGCGGCGUGCCUAAUACAUGCAAGUCGAGCGAACGGACGAGAAGCUUGCUUCUCUGAUGUUAGCGGCGGACGGGUGAGUAACACGUGGAUAACCUACCUAUAAGACUGGGAUAACUUCGGGAAACCGGAGCUAAUACCGGAUGAUAUUUUGAACCGCAUGGUUCAAAAGUGAAAGACGGUCUUGCUGUCACUUAUAGAUGGAUCCGCGCUGCAUUAGCUAGUUGGUAAGGUAACGGCUUACCAAGGCAACGAGGCAUAGCCGACCUGAGAGGGGGAUCGGCCACACGGGAACUGAGACACGGUCCAGACUCCUACGGGAGGCAGCAGUAGGGAAUCUUCCGCAAUGGGCGAAAGCCUGACGGAGCAACGCCGCGUGAGUGAUGAAGGUCUUCGGAUCGUAAAACUCUGUUAUUAGGGAAGAACAUAUGUGUAAGUAACUGUGCACAUCUUGACGGUACCUAAUCAGAAAGCCACGGCUAACUACGUG
rnacentral:rRNA from 1 species